UGGCUAAGGGUGGGUUCGAAACCAUGUUUAUGCUUGCUAUAUGAUUUGAUUACUUCUAAUUGCGUUUCAUAAGUUGUGGAUUCAAUUUGCUUAUCUAUUUGAAUUAAACUGAUUUGUGUGUGUUGGUUGAGAGUGCACGCUUAAUUGUCAUGCAUAAAUCUAAUGCUAGAAUAUAAGGAAAUUUCACCUAAUCGUCAUGAACUUAUAUUCACAAGUAGUAAAGGUUGUUGAUCACAAUUGUGUUAAGUAAAUUCUUGGCAUAAGUUUCAUGCACUUCCAUAGUUACGAGUGCCUCGUCAAUACUUAUGAUUUCCAUUGAACGUAAUGAUCUUUGAUUGUAUCUUUAUUAUGCGCUUUCAUAUAGAGAACUUUUGAGGAAUAAUUUGAUUGCGAUGCGCUUUUUCCGUCCAAUUCAUUGACAUAAGGGAAAUCUAAAAGUUAAUUUAAGCGGACCUAAUUAACUUGGAGUGUUGAGUAUUCAAGGUUUAUUGAAUUGCAAUUAGAAAUCGUUUUGUAUGCAAGUGUGACAUGUGUGGAGAAGAACCCCUUAGCUAGCUUUUCAUCCAUUCAAUUUAAUCAAAUUCGUUUUAGAAUCUGUUCAAUUUACAAGUUUUGUUUUUGUUUUCAAUUUUCGUCAAAACCAAAUCCCCAUUUAUUUUGAAGUGUUAGAUUAGUUAGAAAUCAAUUUAGUUUGUGUUUUUAAGUGUCUUGAGUCAAGUUUAAACCUAUUUUUGUCCAAUUUUGUGUUUGUGUUCAAAACUGCCCAGAAAGUGUUUUUAAGGCAGUUUUGAGUGUUUAUUUGCUGUUUUGAGUCUUGUGCUUUGUUUUGGUGUGUUAUAGUUUAGUUUUGCAUUCUUUGAGUCUAGUGUAGUGUUUUAAACUUUGUUUUUACGUUUUGAGUCAGUUUUCAAUGAUUUGGCAAUCCCUCAUAAUCCCCGGCCUAGAACGAUCCCUACUUACAUACUUUGCUACAAUUGAUAAAAAGAGGGUUUAAUUUGUGUGCUUAUAUAUUUCGCAUCAGGUGUCGAGGAUCCUCUUUGUAAGCCGAGUUUCUGCUUGGUCUCUGCUUGGUCUUUGUUGGUUUCAGUCAGGUAUCUCGGCCUGACGUACAGCCUUAAGGAGCUGUAGGACAAGGGGGUUCUGAAU
rnacentral:lncRNA from 1 species